AGAGUUUGAUCCUGGCUCAGGACGAACGCUGGCGGCGUGCUUAACACAUGCAAGUCGAACGAUGAAGUUCCUUCGGGAAUGGAUUAGUGGCGAACGGGUGAGGAACACGUGAGAAACCUGCCUUUCAUUUUGGGAUAACUCCGGGAAACCGGGGCUAAAACCGAAUACUCCGUCUCGGCGGCAUCGCUGAGCCGGGAAAAAAUUUUGAUGAAAGAUGGUCUCGCGGCCUAUCAGCUAGUUGGUGAGGUAAUGGCUCACCAAGGCGACGACGGGUAGCCGGCCUGAGAGGGCGACCGGCCACACUGGGACUGAGACACGGCCCAGACUCCUACGGGAGGCAGCAGUGGGGAAUAUUGGGCAAUGGGCGCAAGCCUGACCCAGCGACGCCGCGUGAGGGAUGAAGGCCUUCGGGUUGUAAACCUCUUUCAGUAGGGAAGAAGCGAAAGUGACGGUACCUAAAGAAGAAGCACCGGCUAACUAUGUGCCAGCAGCCGCGGUAAUACAUAGGGUGCAAGCGUUGUCCGGAAUUAUUGGGCGUAAAGAGCUCGUAGGUCGUUUGUCGCGUCGAUUGUGAAAAUCUGAGGCUCAACCUCAGACCUGCAGUCGAUACGGGCAAACUAGAGUGUGGUAGGGGAGACUGGAAUUCCUGGUGUAGCGGUGGAAUGCGCAGAUAUCAGGAGGAACACCAAUGGCGAAGGCAGGUCUCUGGGCCAUAACUGACACUGAGGAGCGAAAGCGCGGGGAGCGAACAGGAUUAGAUACCCUGGUAGUCCGCGCCGUAAACGAUGGGCACUAGCUGUGAGAGCCUUCCACGGUUCUCGCGACGCAGCAAACGCAUUAAGUGCCCCGCCUGGGGAGUACGAUCGCAAGAUUAAAACUCAAAGGAAUUGACGG
rnacentral:rRNA from 1 species